GCGCCUGUAGCUCAGGUGGAUAGAGCAACUGCCUUCUAAGCAGUGGGUCGGGGGUUCGAGUCCCUCCAGGCGCGCCA
rnacentral:tRNA from 1 species